UACAGAGGGGGCAAGCGUUGUUCGGAAUUACUGGGCGUAAAGGGCGCGUAGGCGGCCUGCUAAGUCGAACGUGAAAUCCCUGGGCUCAACCCAGGAACUGCGUCCGAUACUGGUUGGCUUGAAUCCGGGAGAGGGAUGUGGAAUUCCAGGUGUAGCGGUGAAAUGCGUAGAUAUCUGGAGGAACACCGGUGGCGAAGGCGGUUCUCUGGGAAUGUCCUGACGCUGAGGAGCGAAAGUGUGGGGAGCGAACAGGG
rnacentral:rRNA from 1 species